AAGGGGAUCGGUAACGAUGACAACCAGCGAUUAGUCGGUGUUAAUAUACGACCCGACUAGCAGCUUCCGGGAAACCAAAGUUUUUCGUUUCCGGGGGAAGUAUGGUUGCAAAGCUGAAACUUAAAGGAAUUGACGGAAGGGCACCACCAGGAGUGGAGCCUGCGGCUUAAUUUGACUCAACACGGGAAAACUCACCCGGCCCGGACACCGUAAGGAUUGACAGACUGAGAGCUCUUUCUUAAUUCGGUGGGUGGUGGUGCAUGGCCGUUCUUAGUUGGUGGAGCGAUUUGUCUGGUUAAUUCCGAUAACGAACGAGACUCUGGCCUAUUAAAUAGUCGGUAUAUCCAGAAAAGUUUACCGUACUUCUUAGAGGGACAAACGGCGUCUAGCCGCGUGAAAUAGAGCAAUAACAGGUCUGUGAUGCCCUUAGAUGUCCGGGGCUGCACGCGCGCUACACUGAAAGAAUCAGUAUGCGCUUUAACCUAGUCCGGAAGGAUUGGGUAACCCGAGCAAAUUCUUUCGUGCUUGGGAUAGGGAAUUGCAAUUAUUUCCCUUAAACGAGGAAUUCCCAGUAAAUGCGGGUCAUAAGCUCGCGUUGAUUACGUCCCUGCCCUUUGUACACACCGCCCGUCGCUACUACCGAUUGGAUGACUUAGUGAGGUCUUAGGACCGACGUAAAGGAGCUUUCGCGAGUUCUUUUUCGUUGGAAAUUUGAUCGAACUACGUUAUCUAGAGGAAGUAAAAGUCGUAACAAGGUUUCCGUAGUGAACCUGCGGAAGGAUC
rnacentral:rRNA from 1 species